rnacentral:rRNA from 1 species
UGGUUAAAAAGCUCGUAGUUGGAUCUCGGCGGACUGAGGGCGGUUUGCUUGCUAGUAUUACUGCCCUAUAGUCCGUAGUUUUGCCAGAGGUUUCGGGGUGCUCUUAAUCGAGUGUCCCGGGAUGCUGGCAGGUUUACUUUGAAAAAAUUAGAGUGCUCAAAGCAGGCUAUUACGCCUGAAUAUUCGUGCAUGGAAUAAUAGAAUAGGAAGUCGUUUCUAUUUUGUUGGUUUUCGGAAAUCGACUUAAUGAUUAAUAGGGACAGUCGGGGGCAUUUGUAUUCAGACGACAGAGGUGAAAUUCUUGGACCGUUUGAAGACAAACUACUGCGAAAGCAUUUGCCAAGAAUGUUUUCAUUAAUCAAGAACGAAAGUUAAAGGUUCGAAGGCGAUUAGAUACCGCCCUAGUUUUAACCAUAAACGAUGCCAGCUAGCGAUCUGCGGACGUUUUUUUUGUAGACUCCGCAGGAAGCUUCCGGGAAACCAAAGCAUUUGGGUUCCAGGGGAAGUAUGGUUGCAAAGCUGAAACUUAAAGGAAUUGACGGAAGGGCACCACCAGGAGUGGAGCCUGUGGCUUAAUUUGACUCAACACGGGAAAUCUCACCAGGCCCGGACACUGGAAGGAUUGACAGAUUGAUAGCUCU